GGCUUCAUGGCGUAAAGGUUAGCGCAAUAAUCUAGUAAUGAGGAUCUGGUUCGAAUCCAGAUGAAGCCA
rnacentral:tRNA from 1 species